rnacentral:tRNA from 1 species
UAAUGGUAACACCUUAGCCUUCCAAGCUAAUAUUGAGGGUUCAAAUCCCUUUGCCC